ensembl:misc_RNA 7SK 7SK RNA
GGAUGUGAGAGCGAUCUGGCUAUGAUAUCUGUCACCCCAUUGAUCACCAGAGUUGAUUCAGCUGAUCUGGCUGGCCAGGUGGGUGUCCCCUUCCUCCCUCACCACUCCAUGUGCAUCCAUCCCUCCCAAAGCUGCAUGUUCAGUCAAGGAUGGCCUUCCCUGUAUAGAGAUGGAUCUAUCUUUGGCGGAGAAUAGCUGAGCUCCCCUGCUAGAACCUCCAAACAAGCUCUCAGGACAAAAUGUUUAACAAACAGGAACCAUAAAGUAGGAAACUUUACAAAAGUAGGGACAUUAGGAGAGAAGGAAACUAGGAAGUCAAUAUUUUAGGAAUGUUUCUAGGAGUCUAU